rnacentral:rRNA from 1 species
UACGGAGGAUCCAAGCGUUAUCCGGAAUCAUUGGGUUUAAAGGGUCCGUAGGCGGUUUUGUAAGUCAGUGGUGAAAGCCCAUCGCUCAACGGUGGAACGGCCAUUGAUACUGCAAGACUUGAAUUAUUGGGAAGUAACUAGAAUAUGUAGUGUAGCGGUGAAAUGCUUAGAGAUUACAUGGAAUACCAAUUGCGAAGGCAGGUUACAUACCAAUA